UACGUAGGGACCGAGCGUUGUCCGGAUUCAUUGGGCGUAAAGAGCUCGUAGGCGGCCACUCAAGUCGAAUGUGAAACCUCGAGGCUUAACCUCGAGCCUGCAUUCGAUACUGGGCGGCUAGAGUCUGGUAGGGGGAUCUGGAAUUCCUGGUGUAGCGGUGGAAUGCGCAGAUAUCAGGAGGAACACCGGUGGCGAAGGCGGCUCACUGGCCCGGUACUGACGCUGAGGUGCGAAAGCGUGGGGAGCAAACAGG
rnacentral:rRNA from 1 species